UUCACCCAUCCCCUUCUCAGCACAGCUUUUUGCUAAUUGCUAUGGUGUAAGUCAUGUUGUUCUUCUAUUAUUAGUUUCCAUAAAUCUUCAAUUUUUCAUUCUGCUAUGUGUAUCUUGAUUCAAUUUCUACUAUCUAGGUCUUAUUUUAUCCAAUUUUUCCCUGUGAGGAAGAUCUCCCAAAAAUUGAUAGGAAGUGCCGUAUGACACUCCAAACAGCAGCGUGGUGUUCAUUACCAACCAGCAAUGUCACGAAAGCAACGCUUUUUUCUCAUCCACCGAUGGCAAAACCCUAAUUCUGCCAUUGGUCGAGAAAAAUUCACUGCUUUUGUGCCGCAGGUUGGUUUGUCCCACGCUGUGUGUGUGAUUUGAAACGGGUCUCUGAGGGUUUAAUACUUAAAAAAGUGUAAAUCAAUUUUAAUUUUCGUUUAAUUUAGGGUUUAGGUUCAAUGCCACGUCGCUGAUAGCUAUUUGCUUUGACCAGCGAUGCUAUGAUUGGACCAAGAACAAGAGUUUCACUUGUUUCGCAUCUUGAUAGGAACCUGCGGAUUUCAAUAUUCUAUGAUCUGUGGAGCCGUUUUCUGCGAUUACAUUCACUUUUUAUAUACAAUUUAUCAAUCUUUGAAGUAUUUUAUGGAUUUGAAUGGAAGCCAAUGAGGACUAACUUGAAUUGGAAUUACCGGCUGAAAAUUAUUAUCUUGAUGUCAAAUUCUGGCUUACUGAGGCUUCCAUUCAUUGCUGAUUUACAAAGUUAUAGUCAGAUUAAGUGGUGUUAUUAAACUAAAGAAUUUGAUUAAUGUGUAGAAUGGAAACCUGGCAAAGUAUAAACAUCAAUUGGGAGUUAUAGUAACAAUUUCCUGACAUGAAUUAAUAUCUGAAAUUAGUUUGAUUAGGUUAAGAAGUUAUUGGGAACAUUAUUGAUUAAAGAUUUAAAAUAUAUAUAAUUAUUGAUUAAAAGGGAUAAAGGCUCUAUAAUAGAGUCAACAGCAGGGGCUUAUUCCAUAGUUACUUGACUGCCGCUUAGAGCCAAAAUCAAAUUGCCAGAUGAAGAUCCUUGGAAUUAUAAUCCUUUGUUUCAAGACACAAAUUUCUGGAUAAAUUCAUUGGUUUUAUAUUUUAAUCAAUUUUUUUUAUUAAAAUUGAUAUAAUAAGAUGAAUUAAUGUUUUUAAUUUUCAUCAUGGGAUUUGUUGACAAACCCAAAAUUAAAAGCAACACUUCUUAUUUUGUCACAAAUAAACUUUGGCUGCCUUAGAAUUAAGUCUUACUGAUGCUCUUAUACAACUACAUUAAGAUCAAACAUUUAUCAUUGUUUGCCCAAUUAUUUAAAUUAAUUUUUAAUAAAUAACCUGACAAAUUUGAAAACUAUUGUCGCAUCCAAGCUUGUCUAAUAUGAUUUACAGGCUUAAGGUGGAAGAAGGUUGUGCUUUUGAAGAGAGACUGCUGAGCAAAGAAAAUGGAACAAUUUGAACUUGGAUUGUUAUGACAACAUGAAGAAAAUUGGAAUUGGUCACUUAGGACUUAGGAGAAAAGGAAAAGGAAAAUUAAUGUAAAGUAUUAAUGUUUUUGGUGUACCUCAAAUUGUUAUCUUGAUCUAUUUUCUAGUUGAAUACUCUAAUCAAGUGUCUAUUUAUAUUAAGUUUGUAAAAUAGAUACUUUUAUAAAUCAAAUACUACAACAAAUAUUGAGCCCUAUUACAACAUCA
rnacentral:lncRNA from 1 species